rnacentral:ncRNA from 1 species
UGAGUUUGAUCCUGGCUUAGAAGGAACGCUAGCUAUAUGCUUAACACAUGCAAGUCGAACGUUUUUUUCGGGGAGCUGGGCAGAAGGAAAAGAGGCUCCUAGCUAAAGUUGUCUCGCCCUGCUUCAAAACUACAGGGCGCGCGCUACGGCUUUGACCUAACGGCCUCCGUUUGCUGGAAUCAGAAUAGUUGAGAACAAAGUGGCGAACGGGUGCAUAAAGCAUGGGAAUCUGCCAAACAGUUCAGGCGAAAUCCUGAAGAAAGCUCAAAAGUGCUGUUUGAUGAGCCUGCGUAGUAUUAGGUAGUUGGUCAGGUAAAGGCUGACCAAGCCAAUGAUGCUUAGCUGGUCUUUUCAGAUGAUCAGCCACACUAGGACUGAGACACGGCCCGGACUCCCAUGGGGGGCAGCAAUGGGGAAUCUUGGACAAUGGGCGAAAGCCCGAUCUAGCAAUAUCGCGUGAGUGAAGAAGGGCAAUGCCGCUUGUAAAGCUCUUUCGUCGAGUGCACGAUCAUGACAGGACUUGAGGAAGAAGCCCCGACUAACUCCUUACCAGCAGCCGCGGUAAGAUGGGGGGGGCAAGUGUUCUUCGGAAUGACUGGGUGUAAAGGGCACGUAGGCGGCGAAUCGGGUUGAAAGUGAAAGUCGCCAAAAAGUGGCGGAAUGCUCUCGAAACCAAUUCACUUGAGUGAGACAGAGGAGAGUGGAAUUUCGUGUGUAGGGGUGAAAUCCGUAGAUCUACGAAGGAACGCCAAAAGCGAAGGCAGCUCUCUGGGUCCCUACCGACGCUGGGGUGCGAAAGCAUGGGGAGCGAACAGGAUUAGAUACCCUGGUAGUCCAUGCCGUAAACGAUGAGUGUUCUCCCUUGGUCUACGCAGAUCAGGGCCCAGCUAACGCGUGAAACACUCCGCCUAGGGAGUAAAGUCGCAAGACCGAAACUCAAAGGAAUUGACGGGGGCCUGCACAAGCGGUGGAGCAUGUGGUUUAAUUCGAUACAACACGCAAAACCUUACCAGCCCUUGACAUAUGAACAACAAAACCUGCCCUUACCAAGAUGGUACUGACUUUCAUACAGGUGAUGCAUGGCUGUCGUCAGCUUGUGUCAUGAGAUGUUUGGUCAAGUCCUAUAACGAGCAAAACCCUCGUUUUGUGUUGUUGAGACAUGCGCCUAAGGAGAAAUUGCCACCGAGUGACGUGCCAACACUACUACUUGAUUGAGUGCCAUCAUGUAGCUGUGCUUUCAGCAAGAAUUUCACCAUUGGGAGCCGGUGCCUUUCGAAGCACUUUCAUGUGUGAACCGAAGUCGUCUUGCCCAAGACCCACGGAGACCUACCUAUAGUGAUGUCAAAGUACCAGUGAGCAUGGAGGUUUGGUUGAAAUUGGUUACGACGAUGUCGAGUUGGCGGCGAAGGAAGACUCAGCAUGAAGGCCAGAAAAUGGUGUGGAAUGUAGUGGUAAUAGUACGCGCCCCGCUCCGAAACAAAGAAAAAGGUGCGUGCCGCACUCACGAGGGACUGCCAGUGAGAUACUAGAGGAAGGUGGGGAUGACGUCAAGUCCGCAUGGCCCUUAUGGGCUGGGCCACACGUGUGCUACAAUGGCAAUGACAAUGGGAAGCAAGGCUGUAAGGCGGAGCGAAUCCGGAAAGACUGCCUUAGUUCGGAUUGUUCUCUGCAACUCGGGAACAUGAAGUUGAAAUCGUUAGUAAUCGCGGAUCAGCAUGUCGCGGUGAAUAUGUACCCGGGCCCUGUACACACUGCCCGUCACACCCUGGGAAUUGGUUUCACCUGAAGCAUCGGACCAAUGAUCACCCAUGAAUUACCACUAGUGCCACAAAGGCCUUUGGUGGUCUUAUUGGCUCAUACCACAGUGGGUUCUUCAACUGGGGUGAAGUCGUAACAAGGUAGCCGUAGGGGAACCUGUGGAUG